AAAUGUGUAAUGUAACAUUACUAUUCCAAACAAGCAUGUACGUAUUACGAAGAAACAAGCUAGCUAGGAAGGUACGCCAUGAAAGCACCUUCACAAGCUAGGUAAGGUACGUAGUAGGUUGUUCUUAAUCUUAGGUGAAGUUGUGAUUGAGAUGAAGGUUUUGGAGAGAUGGACCCCCCAAGACGGUGACCAGUGCCUAAUGAUGCCACCUUUGCAGACUGGAAAAGAAAAGAAAGUAUCACGCAGCUGCAACAGCUGUAUGAUUGAGACGAGUGUGGGUUGUUCCUGUGUAGCUAGUCUUCUGCUUCUGCUAGGUGGGGUGCUAUUGCUACCUCAUCGCACUUCCUCUAAUUUUCCAACACAUUCCGCCAUUUAAAAUCACAAUCACAACUCUUCUAACUCUAGAAAACGAUUAUAUAGGGAAAAUGAUUGUUCAACUACAUGAGGAGCGCAC
rnacentral:lncRNA from 1 species